AAACCAGCACCUCAAGUGGUCAGGAUGAUUAUUUGGCCUAAAGCAUCCGUAGCCUGUUCUGUAAGUUUUCGGUUAAAUCUGUACGCUCAACGUACAGGCUGCCGGGAAUACUGCAGGGCUAGGGAGUGGGAGAGGUAGACGGUACUCGGGAGGAAGUGGUAAAAUGCUUUGAUCUCUCGAUGACCACCUGUGGCGAAGGCGGUCUACCAGAACACGUCCGACGGUGAGGGAUGAAAGCUGGGGGAGCAAACCGGAUUAGAAACCCGAAUAGUCC
rnacentral:rRNA from 1 species